GAUGAACGCUGGCGGCGUGCCUAAUACAUGCCAGUCGAGCGAACAGACGAGGAGCUUGCUCCUUUGACGUUAGCGGCGGACGGGUGAGUAACACGUAGGUAACCUACCUAUAAGACUGGGAUAACUUCGGGAAACCGGAGCUAAUACCGGAUAAUAUUUCGAACCGCAUGGUUCGAUAGUGAAAGAUGGCUUUGCUAUCACUUAUAGAUGGACCUGCGCCGUAUUAGCUAGUUGGUAAGGUAACGGCUUACCAAGGCAACGAUACGUAGCCGACCUGAGAGGGUGAUCGGCCACACUGGAACUGAGACACGGCCCAGACUCCUACGGGAGGCAGCAGUAGGGAAUCUUCCGCAAUGGGCGAAAGCCUGACGGAGCAACGCCGCGUGAGUGAUGAAGGUCUUCGGAUCGUAAAACUCUGUUAUUAGGGAAGAACAAACGUGUAAGUAACUGUGCACGUCUUGACGGUACCUAAUCAGAAAGCCACGGCUAACUACGUG
rnacentral:rRNA from 1 species